rnacentral:lncRNA from 1 species
AAAAUUUUCCAAUGGAAUAUGACCAACACAAUCCUAAAAAUCCUCUCUUCACGUGAAAUUCAAUCAAACACACUUCAAUCAUGGAAAGUCCACCGAAAUUUUUGACUUUUGCAGAGCCCAUAAUCUUUGAAAAGGAAGACUUUGGUGCUUAUUUUCCUUCUUCCUCUAUUUUCGUUUGAUUUGAAUUUUGAAUUUGGUGAUACUUGAAGAAGUCGUUACAACCCUUUUUCCACUAAAAGGGGAGUCUUCUUCACAAUAAAAGGGUGAAGAGAGAUCAAUUUGCCAGGGGCUGCUAUUUUUUCCUUGUUUAUUUGAAGUUCGAGUCUUUGAGUUGAAGCCCUAGUUCAUUUCUGCAUACAAGGUCAGUAAUCGCCUUCAUCUUCACAUUUUUUGUUUCAGUUUUUUUUUUUAGAAAUAAAAUACGAUCGUUUAUAGCUUCUUGUCAUUUAUCUCAACUCUGCCUAUCUGGAUCCGUUUGCUUAUUCUAUUUAUUUUAGGGCUAUGCGUGAAAAUGGUUGAUAAGAAUUAAUGUUAUUUAAAUAUUUUUUUUGGUUAACUUAUCCAAUAUCUAUGUUCUAAUUUCGUAUUUAGAGUUUAUUUGGUGUCCUUGUUGCUGUUGUUCUUAUUUUAGUAAGAUUGCCUCAUUUUGAUAUUUUUUUUAUUAAUUAAUUAAUUUUAGGCCUUACUUGGUAUGUUGUUGUUAUCAUGCUGGGAUUUUAUUUUGGUAUUGUGGAGAUUUUAAAUAUAUCUUCAAUGCUAUCAUCAAUACUAAAUACUCUCUCUGUUUUAUUUUAGUUGGCCCUAUGAACUUAGUACACCCAUUAAGGAAUAAUUAAUAGAAUUUAUUUUUAUCAAAUUAGCCUUAUUAAUUAUGCUUUAAAAAAAACAUAACUUUGAGUAUUUAUAUUUGUUUAGUCAUUUAAUGAUAUGAGUAUAAUGGGAAAAUAUGUGUAAAAUAAUCUUGAUUUUACAAUUGGGACAAGUAUGUGAAACAAAUUAUUUUUUGUUAAAUAAAAAGAGGGUCAGCUAAAAUUAAAAAAUGGAGAAAAUAUUAAUUAUACUCAUAUUAUUUUUUUCAAAAAUUGAUACGUGCGUUACCGGCUAAUUCCAUUUAUGGCACCAGAGGUGCAUGAAAGGAAAGGGCAAAUAUUUGCAUUUUUUUUUUUUAUUAAAAGGGGUGUUGAAAGAAAAAAAAAAAAACAAAUAAUUGCUUUACUUUAUCUUUUUGCAUUAAAAGGGAUGUCAUUUCUUUAUCAAUUAAUUUUAAAGCUUUAUUGAUUUUUUUUAAAGGAAAAGUUUUUUUAAAAGUCUAACUUCUUUCUUUCAUUCAUUUCAUAAGAUAACAAAUGUUGAAUAGCUUUGCCGUAAACUAGUGUUCUUCUUUAUUUGAAAUAUUUAACGAGAAAGGAUUACGCUUAAUUAAAGUAUUAAAGGAUUACGCUUAAUUAAAGUAUUAUUAUACUGUGAUAAAAUGUUAGGAGAUAUAAGGAAAAAUGUUUUAUUAAAUGUUAUGCUAUGAAAGGUUUUUAAAGGAAAGGGUAUUUUAUUUGAUUUUGUCCAAAACUCAUUAUGUUUAUCACUGUGGAAAUACAAUGGAUUUUUUGUUGUUGUUGUUGUGGAGUUUGACGGAUAACAGGUUUGAAUAUUAUGAUAUAAGGUUUUUUUUAUGAGGCUGGUUCACGUGUUCCUUGAUAAGGAUUAAGUGUAUGUUUUCCCCCGAUGAAUUGUUAGAAGUCUUGUUAAUUUACUUUUUUUUUCAUGUUCAUUUGGAUUGAGUUGCCUGUUAUAUGAGACAAAAGUUGUUUACAUCCCAAAAUAUUUAUUCCCAAAUGUUUGUUCCUAAUAGGUAUAUGCUGAUUUAUUUUCGCAGUUUCAUUAAAAUUUAAUAUUCGAAUAUUCAUGUGGCACGUAUUUCUUUCCGUUCAUUUUCCUUACAAUUAGUUUGGCUCCUAAUCUUUAUUUUUCUUAUUUUUUCAUGUACACUCGGAAGUGUGUUUGGAGUCUCAUGGCAUGACUCCAUCUCUGUUCAAAUUAGAGAAGCGAGCAAAUUGCAUUACGUAUCUCCUUCUAGCAGUCUAGUGCCUCCUUCCCUCUUUUCAAGCUUUACUCUUCUUCUGUAGAAACAUGUUAUUAUUAUUUAUUUUCUUUAUUUAAUGUUUAGU